UUGAUGUCGCCUAUGGGGAAUGGCCCGAGGUCCCAUGCUCCUGGCUGCCAUGGCGGCCGCGGAAUCGGCAUAGAGUAUGAUCCUGGCUCAGAGUGAACGCUGGCGCGGUAGAUUAGCAUGCGAGUCGAGCGAUAUUUUUUCUGGAUCGGAGAAGCCGCGAGGCUGAUCUGUUGAAGGAUAAAAAAUAUACCGGCAGAAAGGUGAGUAACACGAGAGUGAUUUACCUGUAAGUCGGGGAUGGCUUUGCGGAAGCGAAGGUAAUCCCCGAUGUGUUUACGAUGCAUAAGCAGUCGUAAGUAAGGUAGGCUCGCAAGAGUUUUCGUUUAGGGAUGAGCUCGCGUCCUAUCAGGUAGGUGGGGGGGUAGUGGCCUACCAAGGCAUUUGGAGGGUAGCUGGCUUGAGAGGGUGGUCGGCCACACGGGGACUGAGGCACCACCUAACUCCUACGGGGGGAUGCAGUCGAGGGGAUUUAGCAGUAGAGGGAAGCCUCCCUACGCACGCCGCGUGAGGGAUGGAGGUAUGCGGAUUGGAACAACCUUCGUUGGGGAAGAGACUUCCCUUAGCAAAACAGGUUGACGUUACCAGGAGAAGAAGCCACGGCCGACC
rnacentral:rRNA from 1 species